UCAUCGUGCAAGGAGGAGACAUGCCUGGUGGCCGACGAGACGGCGGCGGUACAUUUCCUGCUAUGGGGCACCGAGUGCGACGCCUUCGAGCCCGGAGACAUCGUGUGGCUCACAAGCGGCAUCUUCUCCUACCGUAGGGGCAACAAGCUCUUCCUACGGGCUGGUAAGCGAGGACGCGCUGAGAAGGUGGGUGAGUUCACCAUAACGUUCGUUGAGACACCCAACAUGAGCGAGGUGAGGUGGGGGCCCGAUCCAGGCGACCCGGGGAAGAUGGUGCAGGAGGCCGUCCUGUCACCCUACUCCCAGGUCUUCGAGCCGCUGCACUGA
rnacentral:rRNA from 1 species